rnacentral:lncRNA from 1 species
ACAAGCACUUCAUCAACUAAGUUGUCCCCCAGUCCCAUAUUUUUAAGUAGAUAUUAAUCAUUAUAUCUUCCAGGUUAGCCAAGGAAUUGGGUAUAAUUCUGGCCAAAAAGUAAUAAACAAUUUUCCCUAAACUCAAAAUGCAUGAAGUCAAUUUCCAUACCCUUGGUUCUACAUCUAUAAUUUCAACCAACUAUGGAUCAAAAAUAUUCAGCACAAGGUCCUAUUGCUGGAUACAGGAGGGGAGACAGCACAUUUAGGAAGACCUUGCUGGCUAACAGAUGGGAUCCAGAGGCUGUCAGAGGAAAUCAAAAGCUGCCUUUUGGAAAACUUGGCUCCAUUUGUAACAACAUAUUAAAACUACUGAACACACUGGAUGACCCCCUAAAAGAGAUGAGUCUUUGUGAGAAGCACUCUUUGGCAAAAUUGAAGAUGUUCUUUCAUGAGGCAAUAGGGUGAACAUACUCAACUCAAUGACAAGCCUUCCUAGGCAAAUUACAGUUAACUAUGUAGGAGGUGAUAACAGCUCUCUUGGUUCACACCUGAGGAAUGGCCAUCAUGCAAAACCCUCACAAGCUAACAAUUACGAUGAGCAGUGCUGAGGUGUCCUACCCUGGCACCUCCACUACCAUCUCACAGUCUCCAAAAAUCAUGGGUGCAAAACAAACAAAACAAUCCCCGUGUCCACACUGCCUGUGUUUUCAAUGGAAUGGUUUUAAGUUCUGUUAGGAAUGUGGACAGCGCUGAAAAUGAACAAAAUGCACCUGUUUGGAGGCAGGGUAAAGUUUGUGCCACACUGGCAGAGUCCUUUCUGAGCCUGGACUCAUCACAUUCAGCAUUAUCUGUCUCUAGGCAUGCAGAGUCUACAGUUGUCAAGCUGGAGCUUUAAGAACAUUUUUCAUAUGCCAUUUACCUGAAGUGAAUAGUUUUAUUCAAAUUUCCCCUGAAAUAAAAAAGUCCAUCACUGCCAAAAUAAAGCUUUCUCCUUUACUGUUCAGCACUGCAGGCAACAGCCACACAAGAAUUUUAGGAUUAUCAACAGAGCAAUGUAUGAUAUCCCUCUCACAGUCACUGGGAGUACCUGACGUGUCAAUGGCCACUGAAGGGUAAAGUAUACUCCUACUCUCUAAUUCUGGGAAACAGUUCUUUGGUGAUACCCGGCUUUAU